rnacentral:lncRNA from 1 species
UUGGGAUCACAGCUUGAAAGGCUCUUCUUGGUCCGUGGGACUGGGGCAGUCAGGACAAUUUCAGGCCUUCCUGAUUCAAUCUUGGGAGAUUGUAUGUUCCCAGGAAUUUAUCCAUUUCCUCUAGAUUUUCUAAUUUGUGUGCAUAGAAUUCUGAGUACAAAUUCUGCUUCUGGCAGAGCAUUUAGGUGACUUAGUCUGCUGACAAAGCUGCAUCAAAAUGCAGAGGUUGUGAUUUUAAAAAAUGAAUCAACUGUUAUCUAUAAGAGACAUACUUUACAUUCAAAGACACAAAUAGGUUGAAAGUAAUAGGCAUGGGAAGUCAAACUAAAACACUGAAUUACUAUACUUUGUCCACCAGAUGAGUGAGGAUCAAAUUUUGAAGAUGUACUAGUAGGGGCUGAAACCAAAGGCAGCCUGGGUACCCAGGU